rnacentral:lncRNA from 1 species
AUGGCUGAAGCGGCGCCUGCCCCGAAAUCACACUGUGGACCGUGGUGCCUGCUGUUCAGGCCUUGGAGAAGAAAAGUGGAUUCUUGCCUGGCCCGCUUGCUGACUCUGGAGGGAUGCUCAGGGACAGCAGAGAAGAAGCUGGCUGACUGUGAGAAGACAGCUGUGGAGUUCAGCAGCCAGCUGGAGGGCAAGUUGGCCGUGCUGGGGACCCUGCCUCAGGAGUCUAGGCUGCUGCAUGAAGAACCUCAUGGGCAACUGGAACUUCUGGGUCCAGCGGCUUCCCCCUGGCAACAAGGGGGAGGUCCCCAAGAUUAUGCCAUCUCCAAACCGGUCAUUCUCACCCAGAUAGAGAGGGGAGAAGAGCCUUGUCCUGCAGGCCCCUGGGGCCAGGAGAAGGGGGGUGAGGAGAAGACAAUAUGUCAAAGGAAACCAAACACCAGUAUUUCUCUGAGUCCAGAGCAGGCCCCAAGUCCAGCUAGCCCUGCCCAGGAGGAACUGAAUCAAAGGCAGACACCUGAGCAGCAGCAAGAGGAAGCAACCAUGAUUCCACCUGAGCCAGGCACUG